rnacentral:snRNA from 1 species
CAGUUGUGCAUUGAGCACAUAACGAACUAUUCUUUCGCGUUUUACUAAAGAAUACUGUGUGCUCGCCGCAAUACAAGCAGCAUACGCCUCCUUGUGGAGGGUUAUUUUUUUUUAAGGAAAUU